AUAAAAGAAGUUUACAACCCAUAGGGCAGUCAUCCUUCACGCUACUUGGCUGGUUCAGGCCUGCGCCCAUUGACCAA
rnacentral:rRNA from 1 species